rnacentral:sRNA from 1 species
UUACCGUAAUUUGCGGCUCACUCUCAAAACAUAAUCAAAGACUUCAAAUAAAGCCGCAGAGUUGGUUGUAAUCGAGCAUCUUACCUAGUCAACAACUCGACGACUUCUGUGCGAAUGUAGUGGGAUUUUUCCAGAUUUUUCCGCCACAGCUUUUCCACUUCUCCGCCCACUACAUGUAUUUGUCAAGUUGCAAGCGUAUGCGUGACACGUAGUAAAUUAAAUGCGAAACUCUGUAGCAGAGUGUAGCUAACUGAGAGUUUAGUGUUUGUGUGCGAAGUCGGAGUUUGAGUGGCUACAAAGAAUGCUGUUGAGCAUAGCUAUACAUAUAUGUAUAUAUGUUACACUAUAUUUGUAUGUACCCCAUGCUCCGGCUAUAAAUCAUCAAAGUUCAACGUUUGCCAUUUUGUCUACAAUGUGCAAAAGUGUUCAAAAGAGAGUGUGCGAGAGUGAGUGAAAGUCUGUGCUUGCGUGAGUGUUUGUGCCCAAAUGUGUUUGCUUUGCAAUUUCCUUUUAUUUAUUUAAAGUUCUUUAGCAAACAUUGCGCUCUCUGUAACAACCCUCCCUCCACCCCUCCUCCGGCGGCAGUGUUCACAUUAAGUUUUCUGCCAAAAGUUUUAACAAGUAAUCUUUUAAUUAAGUGUCAGCCAUCCCACUCAGACAUCUCCUCAGACAUCCUGGCAUUCGGCAGUCCCCGAAUCCCAGAAUUAUGAGAGCAACAGGAGACGAGCGGCAAAAACGCACAAAUCUAAUUUGAUUAAUGGUCAAAUGCUAAGCUUAAUUAGUGGAAACAGUGGCACACAAAAAAAACAGAGCCAAGCCAACUGGAAUCGGCAUUAAUGGUUGCCACAAAUACGGGCAAAAUAAGAAAUUAAAUAAAUAACCACAGAACAACAACUAAUUGCACCGCAAACGACAAUGGCAAAACGAGCAAUGAAAAGGAAAAGCGGAAGGGAAAUGGAAAAGUGCAAAAAACACAAGCUGAAAAUAUUUCGCAACUAAUAAAAACAUUGCGGCGCACUAAAUCAACUGGAAAACUGUAAAACACAUUGGAACAAAGGUGAGCGAGAAAAGCGUGGGAAAGGUGAAAGGAUAUAUGUUACAUAAGACUACAGGAUACCCAGCACUUUUUCUUAAUAAUAUACACAAAUAUAUAUAUGCAGAGAAGAAAUGCAUAAUAAUAAUAAAUAGGAUUACAUUUAUAUAGUAUUUAUCUUACGUUCUGAUUAAGCUACUGUAAAUGCUUCACAAAAAGCAUAUACCCCGCGUUUUUUGUAGUACCUGUGGCCAAAGGAAAACCAGCUAACGGAAGGUGAAAAUAAAUGAGAAAGAUGGUAAAUAGUUUUCCCCCGGGGCAGCAGAACAAAUGGCAACUGACAUUUGACAUUAGUUUUCUUGCGCCAUGAACAUUUAUACUUUUCCAGCGCUCCUAAUUAAAGAGAUUGUCAUGAAUUAUAAUUGCGGCACUUAAGCAGAGCGAUUCCAAAAAUACAUAUAUGCAGAGAGAUCCGAGUAGCGUUCUUUUGAAUUCAUUAGCAUUGUGCUCUAUAUACACACUUUUCCCCCUUUCCACCACCCCCCACAAUGGAGUCAAUGUACCCGAGUGCAUAGAGUUUUCCCCCCUUUUUUAUUUUGCCAGUCUAAAGCAUCGGAUCGCAUUUCAUACAAUUGCGAAUUGGAGUUUACAUUGUCGGCGAAGGAUAAAGGAUGGAUGUCCUGCUGGAGCUGUAGAAGGAGCAGAGCCGCAGCGCGGAAAACAAAACUGCACUGAACUGAAAUAUGCAGAUCAACUCGCCUGUCAAGGGGCGAGCGCGAAGUGCAGAGUAUUUUCAGCAAAAGCCAAACAUUUAUGAAAAUGCAAAAGCGUUUUUAAGGUUUACCCCAGGUAAGCUGCACAGCAGCUCCAUCGCCACCAACACCACCAUUGCCACCAGCUGCAGAGCGAUAUUAAUGUGAAUGGCUGCCAAGCAAAAAAAAAAAAGGAGGAAACCCCAAACCGAGAGUCAUACUAAACCGGUGGAAAAGUGUAAGGGGGAUGCCAAAAAACAGAGCAUGAAUUGCGGUUUAAACAUUGAAUUAUGAAUAUUUCUUUACCUCGACCCCGACCUGGAUUUCCCCGGGUGCCAGCGAACAUUUAUCAUCCUGCCAGCCGAGAUUCUGAUUAAAAGCGAGAAAUGUUUCGUAAUAAUCCCGCAGCCCAACCGAACCAAGCUCUGUCUUACUAAUGCUAAAAUCGCGAAUCGCGCAUUGCGAAUCACAAAAUGCAUGCAUCAAAAUUGCAAGUACAGCUUUGCAAGCCGAAAA